rnacentral:lncRNA from 1 species
CAGCAGUCAGUAUUUGGUUAGCUUAUUUUUUGUGGCAAUCUAGAUAACUCUGAACUGUAGGAAUUUGUCCUAUCCUUUUCAAUGUAAGGUUACUUCCUAUUCCAAGUUUUUCUUUAUUAAUUUCAUUUUAUGUUAAUACCUAUUUUGAAAAUGUUUUCUCCAUAUACCAAGUUCAUGGAUUCUCGCCCCUUUUUUUGCCAGAAAAAGUUUUGUCGAUGUUUUCUGAUUUUUUUCGAGACCUGUUUCAUAAUUUUCUCGAAACUUAACAUCUUACAUUCAUCAUUAUUCGAUUUUAAAUCGAUUCUAUAUAAAACCCUAACCCCCAAAUCGAAUACCCAAAUCUUGUUUUGCCUUUGUCACAUCAAAAUCUUUGAUUUAGAGCGUCUAAAAACACUGCGUGAAGCAACCAAAAAAAAAAGAAAAAAAAAAAAAAAAAAUUCUGCCUCAAAUGAUCUAUCUUUCAAAGGAGAAAAUUUACCCUUUACCAAUACUCUUGAACCCAAAAAUUGAAAAUGUUGAAGUACCUAAAAAAGUAGUUCAGCUAUAUGGUAAAUGAUUUUAUUAUUAUUAUUUUUUUCUUUUCAUAACCUGUGUAUAGCAUUUUUUUUUUCCCUUCAUAUCUCGUGUAUAGUUCGUGCCUUUUAUAUAUUUUUAUCCAAUUUUUGCUAUUAUAGAAAAUGUUAAAUUAUUGUAAACAAACUGGUUGUGAGCCUCUUUAUUUUUUAAUAGGUUUCAAAUACGAAGCGGUUUACUUACUUUUACUAAUUCAUUUAUACUCAGAUGCAUUUUUCAAAGUUUUACAAUACAAUAGUGUGUAUUAUCAAGUUGUCAAAAUACGUGUCAAUGUAUUUUUGUUCAUGCAUUCAAAAUGUUUGAGCAAAGUUUUGUAAUUUUAUCUCUGCUUACAUGUAUACAUGAUAUGUGACACAUUUGUUCAGUAUUAUACAUGCUUGUAGACAUGAUAUAGAACAUUUUUUUCUUUGAUUCGAGCAUUUUUAUAUUUUAGCAUGUUAAAUCAAAUGCGCAAUUAAGCAUGUUAUAGUAUGUCACGUGUGUGUUAUAGUGUGUCACAAUGAUGUGGAUAAAUUGUUUAAUACUAUAUGUUAUGUCUCAGUUUGAUCAUCAACUUUGUGUUUACUGUUUCGAUAUGUAAAUUGGUUCAAAAUUUUAACUUAUUUGCAGAGCACAUGCUUUUCAUGUGGAGACUGUGGAGUGCUGUUUUUCUGGAUGACAGGGAAGUAAAUGCAAGUUUAUGUAUUUCGUAGUAUUAUAAGCAGUCUUUGCUCACUCAUGGACUUUUUUCAAUUGCAUUCACGAAACAGGCCACACGUAUACUGUUGUAUGUUUUAGUAAUUGUUCUUUGCACUGUGAAUUUAUAUAAGAUGUUGAAACUGCAUCAUAUGUUUGAUUGUAUUUCCAGGUUUACUUUUCUAAAUCGGAACUUUUUGGUAAAGAGGUUUUACUGAUUGAUUUUAUUUAUUAAUCAUUUUCUCUUAUUUUUCUUGUACUUUUGUCUAUUACCUUUAAUUUAACAUUCGAUAGCCUUGAAAUGAGAUCAAUGCUUCUCAUAGUAACGAAGCAUAUUCUCAUUUUGCUUAUUUGUACUAAGCUUCUGUAUUCACUAUCCUUUUCCAGCCUUAGUCUUAUGUACUUAAUUUUCACAUAACCCCUUCUAUUUCCAAGCUGGUGCUACAUAGCUUCCUUUGUACCUUUCUUGUGAGCAUUGCUUUAUUGGACUGAAUUUUGUUUUAGCUUCUGUAUUAUGAUUAUCUUCUUCACAUUCUAUUGUGGUGUACAUAGUUUAAAACCCAGCCUAGCCUAGCCAGUCUGACUUGAAAACUGGUGGCCCAGAUCCUUAUGAACUUGAUAGAUGGGUAUGCAUUUGACCCGUUCAAUCCGGAAAAACAGAACGGGUCAAAAUCCGGGUAAACUGUCUGUUUUUCGUUGAACCUAAGGCCCGGUUGACCAGUUUUUGAAAUUUAAAAUCAUAACUUGGGAUGAGGGAAUUGAUCCCUUUUGCUCCUCCUUGAAAACGUUUGGAGCACACUGUUGGAGACAGUAAGUAGUUGUUACAGUUUGUGUAUUAAUAAAUUAUGAGAUUAUAAAAUAAUUCAUCUAUUGUUAAUGUAAAAUAUUUUUGAAAAAAAUUAUAGUUGAGGUUAAGAUCAAAUAAUUAUUUUAUGUAUUCAUUAUGUAUAGAGAGAUUAUUUUUAGCUAUGAUGCACUGAUACGGACAUAUAUAUCGGACACGUAUCGUGUCGGAUACGUUGACAUGUGAUUUUUUAAUAAAGUACCGACACAACACAUUGCCGACUCGCGGAUUAAAAUCUUUAAAAAUUUUCAUAUAUGUAGUAUAAAUUUAGUUUUACACUUGUUAUUAAUUUUUUUUGUUGAAAUCUUUUAAAUAUAAGUAUCUUUUAAAUAACAAUGAAAAAUGCUUAUGAUAGAGUGUUUGAGAAGUUUCGGUUUCGACACGUGUCCGACACGCUAACCUAAUUGAAGUGUUGGACACGGACAUGCUACCCUAAUUGAAGUGUCCGUACUACAGAAAUUUUUAGUUAAGAUGAAUCAAAUUUCUUAAUACACACGAGUUUUUGAUUGAUAAAUGAAAUGUUUUAUACAUAAACACAAAUGAGAAAAUUAUAAAUUUUGAUGGAAAUUCUAUGCUAUACAAAAUUAUAAAACUAAAAUGCAAACAUUAGAGUAACUUAUAAAUUUAAAAUGUGCAAAUAUUAUAGUAAAAUAUAAGUUUAAAAUAUCGAUAAUUUAUUG